rnacentral:rRNA from 1 species
AGCAGCCGCGGUAAUUCCAGCUCCAAUAGCGUAUAUUAAAGUUGUUGCAGUUAAAAAGACUCGUAGUUGAAUUUCGGGAUCAGUACGCCGGUCGUGCCUUCGGUAUGCACUGGUGUCACUGGUUCCUCCCUUCUGAAGAACCAUCAUGCCAUUAAGUUGGUGUGGCGGGAAAUCAGGACUGUUACUUUGAAAAAUUAGAGUGUUUAAAGCAGGCUCGCGCUUGAAUACAUUAGCAUGGAAUAAUGAAAUAGGACGUUUGACCCUAUUUUGUUGGUUUCUAGGAUCGACCGUAAUGAUUAAUAGGGAUAGUUGGGGGCAUUAGUAUUCAAUUGUCAGA